rnacentral:tRNA from 1 species
GGUGGCGUAGCGUAGUGGUUAAGUGCUAUGGCUGCUAACCAAAGGGUCGGCAGUUCAAAUCUGCCAGUUGCUC